rnacentral:rRNA from 1 species
UACGUAGGGGGCGAGCGUUGUCCGGAUUUAUUGGGCGUAAAGAGCUCGUAGGCGGUUGGGUAAGUCGGGUGUGAAAACUCAGGGCUCCACUCUGAGACGCCACUCGAUACUGCCCUGACUCGAGUCCGGUAGGGGAGCGUGGAAUUCCCGGUGUAGCGGUGAAAUGCGCAGAGUAUCGGGAGGAACACCAGUGGCGAAGGCGGCGCUCUGGGCCGGAACUGACGCUGAGGAGCGAAAGCGUGGGGAGCAAACGGGAUAGAA